GUGCCAGCCGCCGCGGUAAUACCGGCAGCUCGAGUGAUGGCCACUCUUAUUGGGCCUAAAGCGUCCGUAGCUGGCCGCGCAAGUCCGUCGGGAAAUCCAUCAGCCCAACUGAUGGGCGUCCGGCGGAAACUGCACGGCUUGGGACCGGAAGGCUCGAGAGGUACGUCCGGGGUAGGAGUGAAAUCCCGUAAUCCCGAACGGACCACCGAUGGCGAAAGCAUCUCGAGAAAACGGAUCCGACAGUGAGGGACGAAAGCUAGGGUCUCGAACCGGAUUAGAAACCCGAGUAGUCC
rnacentral:rRNA from 1 species